rnacentral:lncRNA from 1 species
UGAUGCAUUAACUAAACAGUCACAAUAAAUAAAACAUAUGGGUACAUCAGUCAUCAUCGUAUAACAAUUUAAAAAGGGAACAAUUUAACAGAACACAAAAACAUAUAUCUACAAACACAUUCAUUGAUUUGUGUGUCUGACGUCAGAAAAUUGUAUACGUCACAUAAAUUUGUCGCUCAAUGUACAUGCAAACAAUUUUAAAAUUUACAUAGGCA